CCUACGGGUGGCAGCAGUGAGGAAUAUUGGUCAAUGGACGAGAGUCUGAACCAGCCAAGUCGCGUGAAGGAUGACUGCCCUAUGGGUUGUAAACUUCUUUUAUCUGGGAAUAAAAUGUUCCACGUGUGGGAUUUUGUAUGUACCAUAUGAAUAAGCAUCGGCUAACUCCGUGCCAGCAGCCGCGGUAAUACGGAGGAUCCGAGCGUUAUCCGGAUUUAUUGGGUUUAAAGGGUGCGGAGGUGGAUUGUUAAGUCAGGUGUGAAAGUUUGCGGCUCAACCGUAAAAUUGCAGUUGAAACUGGCAUUCUUGAGUACGGGAGAGGUAGGCGGAAUGCGUGGUGUAGCGGUGAAAUGCUUAGAUAUCACGAAGAACUCCGAUUGCGAAGGCAGCACACCGGAGUUCAACUGACACUGAUGCACGAAAGUGUGGGUAUCGAACAGGAUUAGAUACCCGGGUAGUC
rnacentral:rRNA from 1 species